GACGAACGCUGGCGGCGUGCCUAAUACAUGCAAGUAGAACGCUGAAGCGAGGAGCUUGCUCUUCUUGGAUGAGUUGCGAACGGGUGAGUAACGCGUAGGUAACCUGCCUUGUAGCGGGGGAUAACUAUUGGAAACGAUAGCUAAUACCGCAUAACAAUGGAUGACACAUGUCAUUUAUUUGAAAGGGGCAAUUGCUCCACUACAAGAUGGACCUGCGUUGUAUUAGCUAGUAGGUGAGGUAAUGGCUCACCUAGGCGACGAUACAUAGCCGACCUGAGAGGGUGAUCGGCCACACUGGGACUGAGACACGGCCCAGACUCCUACGGGAGGCAGCAGUAGGGAAUCUUCGGCAAUGGGGGCAACACUGACCGAGCAACGCCGCGUGAGUGAAGAAGGUUUUCGGAUCGUAAAGCUCUGUUGUAAGUCAAGAACGGGUGUGAGAGUGGAAAGUUCACACUGUGACGGUAGCUUACCAGAAAGGGACGGCUAACUACGUG
rnacentral:rRNA from 1 species